GCUGAUUGGUCACGCUGGCAAGAUGGCAGACCCUGACGGUGUCCCUAUGUUGUGAGUGCGUGGGGCAUUUCAGCCGUCAAUUCAGCGCAGGCAAGUCUGAUUGUAGCAGCGGGGCGGCAUGCUGUCGGUCUCGGCUCAACAUCGUGUCGUUUGAAGGAUCACGGGCUAGCUGGAUGACCGCAUCGAAUCGGCAACUACUUGAUGAAACUGAAUUGAGGCAUGUUACCAGCUUAGUCCAUGAACUCCAACUCAGGCUAUUUGGAAACGUUGCAUACUCAUAAAAUCAUUUUUGUACAAGACAAUCCCAAGUGGAGGAGAUCAAGGGGACGCCCAAGUAACUCGUGGCUGCGGUGACUAAUCCUGCCAGACUGGCCUUGGGAUGGAUAGGGCAGCUGUGUGGGAGCUUGCUCAGGGGGAGUGGUGGGGGCAGUGCCAAAUCCAGAACAUUGGAGAGGUACUCUGUCUACAGAGUAAAGAGAGAGAAAGAUUAAGGAUAGUGAGGAGAGAUACUUCCUGAUGGAGCAACUAAACAACCUACUGACAAGUCACCACUGCAGGCAUGUUGUGAUCAUGGGCCACUUAAUCAUCACCUGGUGGGAGCAGCCUAUGAGAAUCGUCUGAUGGUGCAUGGUCUGACAGACCAUGUCACCCUCCCCACCUACAAUUGUGGGGGGAUGCUGGACCCCGUCAUCACUGACCUGGGAGAGGACACAGGCACGUGCCCCCAACUUGGGUAGCUCUGAUCGCCACUCCACCCUGACCUGGGCAGAUGUGGGUGUGGCACAGGAUGAGAACAACUUCUCACACCAUCUGGUUGUGGGACAGAGCUGACUGGCCCUCCCUUAAAAGAAGACCUGCAAUAGACAGAUUGCCACGCCUUCCUGUCUGGAUGAGCAGAGUCCAUGGUGAGGGUCUUCACUGAACGGCUCAGAGCUCUCCAAUGAGAGCACGUCCCACACCAUCAGAACACCUUCAGGCCCACCAAGUCCUCGUUUGGCCUCCACUGCUGUCUUACUGUGUAGAAAAAGUACUCAGCAUGACUGCAUUGACACAGCAUUGAGCAAUGUUCAGGAAUGUGGUAGCCACCAGUAAGUGGGCUAAACAGAGGCUAGGGUGGGGAGCAAGACGUAGUAGGUUCAUGUUAAAGAGAGGCAAGGCAGCAGCCACCAGGAAACCAUUCCUCCCCUCACCAAGCAGGACAGCACCCAGCAGCAGUGAGAAGACAGAGCUACUGGCUGACCCCACCAGGCCUCCACCACAGCUGGCACAGGAAUGUUAUCAGACUUUGACAGCAGUGGAGGUGACAUAGGAGCAAGUAGAUUGCCUCUUGAGAGUGGUCGACAUCAGUAAGGCCACUGGACAUGAUGUUAGCUCACAAGUGCCACUGCCACAGUGAACUUGCAGGACCUCCCUCUCUUGGAGAUGUUUGCAGCCUGUGUCCAGGAGAACAUUUGGCCAUUUAUGUGGAAAGUGGCUUGCAUGGUGCAAAUGCACAAAAAGAAGUCCAGAUCCUGUUAACAACAGGCCCAUCUCCCUCCUGUCUGUAGUUAAGAUUGAGAGAUAAUUGCGGUGAAGGCCAUCACCCACCACCUUGAGGACAACACCCUCCUGUCUAACCAGCAGUUUGGGUUCAUACCUGGCAGCGCCACAUCACAUCUACUGAUGCUCCUCUCCAGGAAUUGACAGGACUCCCUGGACUAUGGACUGAACACCCUUGUUGUCACUCUUGACCAGGGUUGGUGAUUUUUAUUUUUUAAAUAAAGAAAAAAU